GACGAACGCUGGCGGCGUGCUUAACACAUGCAAGUCGAACGGAAAGGCCCUGCUUUUGUGGGGUGCUCGAGUGGCGAACGGGUGAGUAACACGUGAGUAACCUGCCCUUGACUUUGGGAUAACUUCAGGAAACUGGGGCUAAUACCGGAUAGGAGCUCCUGCUGCAUGGUGGGGGUUGGAAAGUUUCGGCGGUUGGGGAUGGACUCGCGGCUUAUCAGCUUGUUGGUGGGGUAGUGGCUUACCAAGGCUUUGACGGGUAGCCGGCCUGAGAGGGUGACCGGCCACAUUGGGACUGAGAUACGGCCCGAAGUCCUACGGGAGGAAGCAGUGGGGAAUAUUGCACAAUGGGCGGAAGCCUGAUGAAGCAACGCCGCGUGCGGGAUGACGGCCUUCGGGUUGUAAACCGCUUUCGCCUGUGACGAAGCGUGAGUGACGGUAAUGGGUAAAGAAGCACCGGCUAACUACGUG
rnacentral:rRNA from 1 species